CGUCGUCUAGCGUCGGUCCAUUACGAGAUACGUAACGUAGUGAUGCCAACUUUUCCGCUUCUUGUAACUUUUCUUGUGUUGUGCGAAUUGUAUGCCCUGACAGAAAUAUUGUUCGUGUAGAUUUCGUGUGCUCUGGGUGUCCGAUCGGCGAGACUUCGCUAACAUAUUGUCUACCUCGACGUAGGUGCAUUUCAGCGCAUUUAUGAAAACACUGAAUUCGCUCGAUUUCCAUACCGAAUACUCGUAAACGUCGACAUAUCGUCCUGUAUCCAUAUCUAAAAGCUAAACUCUCGUGUCUUUCUAACUAAUCGUGCGUAAAAAUAUCAUUGGCUUCGUAUUUGUUCUAAGUAAACGUGUGGUUACGUGGUCUCGUGUGUUUGUGCCCUCUGUUAUGCUCACGACUGCCACAUCUUGAAUAAUAAAAGUGCGUUCGGUUUGUUUAUCGGUUAACCGAGUGCUCGCCUACCACGUAUCGUCCUGCAAUAUUCAUACGAGGAUGCGCGCAGGUAUUUGAAGAGCUUCACAAAUAAAGCCACGACACAAG